rnacentral:rRNA from 1 species
CCUACGGGGGGCAGCAGUGGGGGAUAUUGCACAAUGGGGGGAACCCUGAUGCAGCGACGCCGCGUGGGUGAAGGAGUGCUUCGGCAUGUAAAGCCCUAUCGGCAGGGAAGAAGCAAGACGGUACCUGACUAAGAAGCCCCGGCUAACUACGUGCCAGAAGCCGCGGUAAUACGUAGGGGGCGAGCGUUAUCCGGAUUCACUGGGUGUAAAGGGAGCGUAGACGGCCAUGCAAGCCAGGGGUGAAAGCCCGGGGCCCAACCCCGGGACUGCCCUUGGAACUGUGCGGCUAGAGUGCGGGAGGGGCAGGCGGAAUUCCUGGUGUAGCGGUGAAAUGCGUAGAUAUCAGGAGGAACACCGGCGGAGAAGGCGGCCUGCUGGACCGCGACUGACGUUGAGGCUCGAAAGCGUGGGGAGCGAACAGGAUUAGAUACCCCUGUAGUC